CAGUAUUCAAGUAGAUGGUUAACAGGGGACAAGAAGAAAAAAUGCAGUUUUAAAAACAAAAGUUGUGGCAGCCAUCGGGUUAUCUGAUAACGAACACCGAAUGAUCUCAGACUUAAUAAACCUGUGAAGUAAAAAGAGGAAGUGGAGGCAUGGACAUUUCUUUGAUCCACAGCAGUGUAACUAAUGUCAUGUUUUGCGUCACUAGCUCACAGGAGAUGCAACAUGCAUGUAACUAGCCUGAAAGAUUUGGAACUUCAGUUCAUCAUGGAGGUUGAAGUAACAUGACUGACAGAGUUCCUACAGCCCAGUAGAAGUCUUUGACUAUGAACUGUUACCCUAUUUAUACUUGUUUGUUAAGUUAUUUUUUGAGAAAAUUGUGUAAUGUCCUCUCUAGGUAAAUUAACAUACAGUGAACAUUUAUCAGCAUGGAUUACUUGUUGUGCAACGAAGGACUUUUCCAACAUACAGCCAGAGCUGCACAAGGGACAAGAGUAAAUGAAAAAGGAGGCAGCAACAAUAUGAUUAUGGAAACAAUGCCAAUUUGUAAAUGAAAAGCUUUGAACCUUUUUUUCUUUUUUCUUUUUUUUUCUUUUUUCUGAAGCAUAGCACCCAUGGGCAUUCCUAAAUAGAUCUGGGCAGCCCUGCAGAUAAAUCAAAAUUCAGACAAGCCAAGGACCUGGUUGUUCUCCAUAAGCAAAAAUACAACCCAAGCUGUUAAUGUUGGCUGCCCAUUUAUAAAAAAUAAAAAAUAAAAAAAAAAUAAAUAAAUUCUAUUCUAUGUAAAGAUAUAGAAAUUCAAUGUGACCGUGAGGAAACUACCAAAGGAUUGUCUUUAUUCACAGAUGUGAAGCCAAGGCAAAGCUUGUAACUCAACAAGAUCUCAAAUUAAACUUCCUUUAAACCAACUCUAAGUUUAAGUUCUGUAAAUUUAUAUAAUUAAAGUAGGAUAACAGGAACUUUAAUGUCAACAUAAUCAGGUCCUAGGAACAAGUAAAUCAGCUCUUUAUUGGAAUAAACAGUUCUUACGCAGCACAGAAUUACACCUUUUACAGAAAAGGAAGUUAGAGAGACAGGGAAGGAUGAAAGAGGAGCCUGGCAGAGACCUGAUAAUUAAAAGGGUCUUUUUCAAACACAAACAGAAGAUUAUGACUUGAGUUAAAGAAAUAGCAAUGCUUAUGUAUGCACUUAUUAUCAACAAAGGUCCUUGCAUUUAAGUAAAACAAUGCUUCUGAAGAAAAAUAAGAUGAGCUAUAAGCAGAAAUGUUUUCAAAGCAGAAUAUUGUUCAUGGAUUUCCAUAAAAUAAUAGUGACUGUUUAGAAGUGUCCCUUUUAAAUUAUCAUGGACUAAAUCAGAGACUAGAACUAAAAUGUAACCACUCCAAAAAAUAAUGGUGGUGGAGGCUGCUGUUCCUUAUGUGUGUCGUUCACAUUUACUCUGCAAACAUACAGUUCAGUUUAAUUAGCAUGUGAUUGAAAAGUGUUGAUGUCUUGUGUUCUGUGUUGCUAAAUGGAUUUCCUCAUGCUGGGGAAUAUGUAAAUUUCUUGAAGAAUUGUUUAUGCUACCAGAGCGGCUUUUAAGUAAUUUUGAUGACAAGAAUUAAAGUAGGCAGUCAACAUAGUUAUUUUGAGGAUUUAAUAUAGUUGUGAACAUAGGAGUGUAAAUAACUUUUUCAAGGAGCUGAAGCAGUUUGUAAAAACAGCUGUACAGAUUUUUUUUUUUAAUUUUUUUUUUCCCAUUUCAUGGAACAGUAGAGUUUAAUUGAAGCUUUUGUCCCUUCUCAUUUCUGGAAGCCAGAAAUAAGAUGAAUAAAUGUAAAGAAAAAAUUAAAAAAAAAAAAAAAUCCCUCUCCUUCGAAGCAGUGAAUAUCAUUUAAAAAAGAAAAGAUUUAAGUAUUUCUAUAUGAUUCUUCUCUGGUCUAUAAAAACUUUAAAUGUCUGUAGCUUCAUUUAUUUCACAGAGUAUAUUUCUGAUUUACUGUAGUUGUAAAAGAGAAAAAUAUGAAUUAAAGUGUAAAUUACACUUCUUUGAAAGCUACACAUUUUUAAUUGUCAGAAUGGCAGAGGCAAAGUACUCUCAAAAGCUUGCAUAGUUCAGUCAAAUCUAGAAAUAUAUAGACACUGAAAUUUCCACUCCGCAGAAAGAUUUGCAGCUUCAGAAUCAAUUUUAUUCUGAACCAGAGUGAAGAAACAGAGAACUUUCCAAGAAAUAUAAUUUCCAGGAAUAAAAAAAUCAGAUUAAUUUAAAAAUAAAAAUUAAAAAUUUAAAAAAGUGCCAUGUUUUUCAAGCUUAUAAUAUUUUGAAAAAAACUUUGAAAGGGAAAGUUAUUUCAUGAUGAAAAAGCUGAAAAAUAUUCCUUAUAUGAAAAUGCCAAAUAUCUUCACUAUUUGUUUUCAAAUUGGAAAUGUUAUAAAUGAAAUCAACGAGUGUUGGAGGGUUAUUAAUCUAUGGACAUUAAUAGUCAUGAGCUGUAUGGGAGCAUGCAAGAGCAGCUAGUAUCAGCAAGAGCCAUCAAUAUAAACCCACAGAGGUUUGGGAGGUUACUGGCAACCCUUCCCCAUUUUUAAGGGUGACUUCUUUUCUUGUCGCCAACACUAGUCCACCAAUGUCCCAUAAAUAUAUUACUACUGGAGAGGCUUGCACCUUCAUAAGCAGAAGAUCAUGCUGUAAUAAGGGUUAAUCUAAACUGAAGUAUUCACCUAACCUGAAUUUUUUAAAGUUUCUAGUCAUGAGGUCUAAGAUAGCUUCCUAAACUCCCUUUGGACAGUGCAGAGAGUAAUGUGCUCCUAGAGCAUCAUUCAUCUGUUGUAGCCAGAUGCUUAUAGUAGUAAAGAUUUUCCCCCCCCCCCCCCCCCCCAUUAGGUCUGUCUGUAGAGGGAUUUCAACCAAAAGAUGCUGAACUUUUAUGUGGGUAAAGUUGGGUGAAGUAGUCUCCCUUUAAAUGUCAGAAUAAACCAUGUAGAAGAGAAAAUCCCAUUAGCCAGAUAAUACUCCUUUGAAUCCAUUGGUUCAUUGUGUCACAUUACACUAAUUAAUGAUGGUGUUGAACAAAAAUUAUUUUUGCUCAAAUACAAAGUUAAUCUACCUCAACAAAAAUGCAUGUUUAUACUAUGUAAGUACUAUGUUUGCCAGGCCCUGUUCUUUUCUUCGGAAACUGUGAAUGUCCUUCUGCUUAUGAGAUUGAAUCCCUGCCACUGAGGUAUGGCGAAGUGCAGGAGAGUGGAGUUGUAUCCCCAGCCUUGUCACCUAUUCCCAUCAUCAGACACACUGGUGGAUAUUCUUCAGUAAUUCUUCUCAUCAGUCACGUGGAUUUAAGCAAAACUUCAGUAUAAUCAGAACUAGCACUAUUCUCUCCGAAAAAAGGACAGUUCAAAGAAAGAGUGGAAAAAAAUUAAUGCCAUGAUGUCUUAUUAUGAGAACAUAAAUAAGAUGGUGAUAUAGGAGAGGGGAAAAGAUAAGGGAAGAUAAGGGAAACAGAAAAGACUACAUAAUGGAUCAGGUCUCUCAAGUAGUUCUAGAAAACAUGAACGCAGAAAACCAAGGAGAUCCAGCCCAUCAAAAUCACUGAAAAGUCUAUUGACUUACGUGGUGCCACAUCACAAGUUCUUUUUAUCCUUAAACCUUAGAGAGACAGCAGCGUAAGAAAACUGUCUAACCACAUGAAAGAAACCUCUGCUCUGCUAAGUCACAGAUUAAUUUAAAAUUAAGGAAUUUCUGUAAAUACUUAAGUUACCUUGUAUCUCUUAACAGACAGAUAUAUAAUGAAUAGCUUAGGAAGUGAUAAGAAGUAGAACAAAGGAUGAAAAUCUAUCCAAGUGCAGACAGCAUUUGGGUUUAAUUCUAUCAAUAUCUUAGAAACAAAGAUAGACACAAACAACCAGUUACAAUACUAACAAUAAGAAACAAAAAUAAUAUUCUUUGUACGUGUAGCUAAAUUAUAGUUUGUUCACAGGUGUCCUGGUUUCAGCUGAGAUACAGUUAAUUUUCUUUCUAGUAGCCAGUAUAGUGCUGUGGUUUGGAUUUAGUAUGAGAAUAAUGUUGAUAACACACUGAUGGUUUAGUUGUUGCUGGGUAGCUGUAGUGUCUACAGGAAGUCAAGGACUUUUCAGGUUCUCACGCCCCGCCAGGUGCAGAAGAAGCUGGAGAGCACAGCCAGGACAGCUGACCCAGACUGGCCAAAGGGACAUUCCCUGCCACAGAACAUCAUGCUCCGGAUGGAACUGGGGAAGCGAGCCGGGAGGCGGGAUCGCUGCUUGGAAACAGACUGGGCAAUGGGUUUUGGGUUUUUUUCUGCAUGUGGUGAGCAAUUGUAUUGGUGCAUCACUUAUUAUUGUUGUUAUUAUUGUUAUUAUUAUUAUUCUUCUCUUCCUUUGUUAUCCUAUUAAACUGUCUUUAUC